CCUCGUUCACUUUACCCUUAUUGUCACGCCCCGGAUGUCUAGUUCCCCGGACACGCCGACAAAUCCGCCGUAUACAAAGAAAUUUUCUCUGUAUACGAAGCGACAGCUGUACCUGUAAAUCAAACGCUACUACGAACAGUAGUAGAGAGCUGCUAAAAAAAACAGAAGAUAAACAAACUGAGUUUCAUAUACAUAGUCCAAAUCCAAAAUACAGAGCUACUCGCACUGGCGAGUUAAGUCUACUAUGUACAGAAACUCGAAACAAAACAUCUACCUGCAGUAGGGGCACCUCUCGCUCAGCACGACGGGUAGGGCUCUGACUCGUGACGCCCUUGCCUCGAUCCUGAUCCGCGGAAGGCGCAGCAGCCGGAACCUGUGGCUCUGCAAAAUAGAGGUAACAACUGGGCGUGAGAACUACUGUAAAAACAAGUAGUCCUCAGUGGGUACCGCCCAAAACCACAUCGGUCCACCCACUAAGUCUACAGAAGGGAGCAAGAGUAGUCAGAAAAGCAGGAAGUAAACUCUACCGCUAUCGAUCACUACACUAUCAUGCUCUACACUAACCAACUGUAGUAAAUGUCAAAUCUGACCCAAUCCAAUCGGGACUGUAAGCAUACCCGUCCCCGGGACUGUGAAUACACCCGUCCCUGCCCCGUUGCGACUACUAGGCUCUAUCCACACUAACUGGUCCGUGGAGAGCAAGUCCAACUGGCAUGAGCAACACCAACGCGAAAGCAUAAAGCCUGACUCCGGAGUGGCACUCGUGGCGCCUACCAACCGAGUAUGCAGCGUAUCUCUGUCGAGUUCAAACAGGCUCUGAAAAGCCAAAGUCAAGAAAUCGAUUCUAACUGGUCUAACAACCAACAAGUAACGUGCCCUCAGCACAAUCUGACGCCAAAAAGGCGAUACGGGUCCACCGUCAUCUAACGGCACCCCAAGUCCGGAACAACCUGAACAAUACUGUAAAAAUCCACUCGGCAUACCAGCACGAGCGUAAAUGUAUACUAAACCACCUGGAUACUCGUCUCGAGGAUACUGCGACAGUACAAUUUAAUAACGGCUCCUAGAGUUAAAUCAGGCAGUUUAAUCAAGUGACAGUCCAAAUCGCAGGUUUUCUCUAAUUCAAUUUCCAAGUCCAACAUGUAUAACCUAUUCAAUUUAUUACCACAUGCUCCAAAUUCAGAUAUGCAAUCUUACCUUAAUCCAUAAAUUCGAUCGCAGUAGAAUAGAUUAUCCAGAAAUUGAAAACUAAUGUCUCGACGAUUAGAACUUAGGAUCAAACCGAUGUAACCCACCUCGACAGCGACCCAAGCACCGUGGUAAGUUAGGUCUGUGCGCGCGCAAUUAUUGAGAGACGUUCUGGUAACGGGAGAAGACGAAAUUGCACCCCUCGCCCUGGGUCCUGAGCAACAUUUAGGGACGGUACCUCGUACAGUGGCUUGGGUGGGUUGUUUGUUUAAGUGAUUUUGGUAGAAGUAAUUUUUUGAGUCUAAAGUGAACGCGUUCGAUUCACAAACGAUAUCUGCGUAGAUGCUCGCUGCUGGUGUAAGUUUUAUAUGUCGUGGCUACAUGAUCUGACGCUUAACCUAUGUCUGCCUCACGUAGCUCUCUUCGCACUUUGCCUUGAUAGAUAGAGGAGGGAGAAUGUGAAAUCACCACUAUCCCUUUGGUGUAAAUUAGAGUUACCACAAUAAGAUUAAGGAUGAUGGUUGGUGUAUGCUUAUAAUCGUUACGGAAUUACAAAAGUCCACCCCCUAUGCUUUUACUAACUUAACCGACAUAAAAAUAUUAUAUAAAAUAAAUAAAUAAAUGUUAAUGUAAGGAUAUUUAUCAACCUCUCACUACACCUUACUCAUAAAAUAAAAGUUCCUCGCCUUAAUUAUUCCUUCUUCUCAAAUUCUAAUACAUACAAUACCUUCAAGAACGAUGAUGAAAGCGUAACACAGUCGAGGUGUGGUGUGGUGGGUUAAAAUAUUAUUUAAAUACUCUAUAUUCCAUUUUCUCAUAUUUAAGAUGUCAAAAUCUUAUGAGGAUUAUAAUUAUAAUAAAUUUAAGUGGAAAUGACCAAUAAAUAUAUAGUUAGGACAUUAUUUAAAUUACAUGUCACGCAUAUCUUAGGCUGUUCUGAUUAAUUUUUUGUAUUCCUUCAUUGUCGACCUCCCGUUCUCGUUGAAUGGCUCCAAUCUGUUGAUGCGGUAGUGGUGAAGAUGAUUGCCCGGCUGCGCAAUUCUUUGGUGCUCAUGCACAGAUGAUAUUCGCGCCUGUUCGGUCGUCUCCUCGUUAACCUCAGGUCCUCACCUAUCUCGAGUGGCGAGUGGAGAAUCAAUCACUGUUUGAGAAUGAUCUCGAUCAGAUGAUAUCUCCUUCAACGCGAGACGUGAAACACGGUGGGGAUCGCCAGCAAGUCGAGGGUAAAUAAGAAAAAAAGUGGGCAUAGAGCUAUUUCCUGUAGCCAUAUGGUCGGGAGAUCCUGGAAUCUCUCUCUAUACCUCGAAAGGGCCAGCACAAACGUGGACUAAGCUUGUUUCCACUUACUACCAAAAUUGGUAUUAUUCGUUAAACCUCAAAAAGUGGCGACAGGGCGUGGCGUGUGACUCUUUUAGUGUGAUAGAUUGGAAACAUGAUCUCUAACCUUUAAAUCUAAGUUCGUCUCCUAGAGGGUUUUGUGAUUUUUGUUGUUGUUUAGGUAUGAAUUGAUUCGUGUUUUAGGAUCUCUUAGGCAGUUUGAUUGUAUCGGCGUAGCUUCUCUGUCGGCUCUGUGCUGUCAUGAAGUGGGAAGCAUACGGGCUGGAUCAGAGGUGUGUAUUUCCGUUUUUAUUUUCAACAUGUACUGUUUCUGUUGUCCUUUUGCAGUAUUAGUGUAUUGCCUCUACGAGAAUCGUAAAUAUUCUAUAUGAAUAAGAUGGUAUAGUAGUAAAGUUCGCGCUCUCGAGUUUUUCCAGCGAUUUUUCUCUUGCGAUGUUAGCUUUCUUCUCAGAACAAAAUUCCGACUUAUCCCACCAAUUUCCAUCUCUAUUAUCUUAAGGGUGAGUCUUAGAUAUUAAUUAAUUCUUAAUAGUAUUUACUUAUUAUCAUUGCUUCUAUACUAAGUAAUUUAUUUGUUGUAUAUACAUUCUGACCUCUAAUGGAGGUGUUACACUUAUUAUUCAUUAAGCUCUUUCUAAUACGUUGUAUUAUAAGCCAAUACUUGUUUAUAUUGUAAUUUUUUUUAAUAUACUUGUUUGAUAUUGUUGAUUUUGUAUAUGUAUAUCUUUUCUCUUGUUAUUAAUAUAAUAAACUUUAACAUAGUCUCACUAAAUUUGAUCAGGCUUAUCCACACUCUUUUACUCAACUAAUACAAUUCUCAGGACUGCAAUUAGUAUCCUUCAUUCUAUCAUUGUUCUUCUUUUUAGUGUAAGUAAAAGUUUUAUUUAGUUUUAAUUAAUAUUUUAUUUUAAUUGUUAUUGUGACUCUACUAACUUUGUAUUUUCAAUCUGUCAUAUUCUUUGUCUUGUCCUGAUAUUGGGAAUGGAACGCGUCGUUGUAUUAACUUUUGACUCAAUUGCAUUAAAUAUUUUUCUCCUUAUAAAAUAGAUUGUUCUUAGGUAUAGAUCUUCUAUAUUGUUGGUUAUAUUUAUUUUGAAUANNNNNNNNNNNNNNNNNNNNNNNNNNNNNNNNNNNNNNNNNNNNNNNNNNNNNNNNNNNNNNNNNNNNNNNNNNNNNNNNNNNNNNNNNNNNNNNNNNNNNNNNNNNNNNNNNNNNNNNNNNNNNNNNNNNNNNNNNNNNNNNNNNNNNNNNNNNNNNNNNNNNNNNNNNNNNNNNNNNNNNNNNNNNNNNNNNNNNNNNNNNNNNNNNNNNNNNNNNNNNNNNNNNNNNNNNNNNNNNNNNNNNNNNNNNNNNNNNNNNNNNNNNNNNNNNNNNNNNNNNNNNNNNNNNNNNNNNNNNNNNNNNNNNNNNNNNNNNNNNNNNNNNNNNNNNNNNNNNNNNNNNNNNNNNNNNNNNNNNNNNNNNNNNNNNNNAAGGGAGCAAGAGUAGUCAGAAAAGCAGAAGUAAACUCUACCGCUAUCGAUCACUACACUAUCAUGCUCUACACUAACCAACUGUAGUAAAUGUCAAAUCUGACCCAAUCCAAUCGGGACUGUAAAUACCCGUCCCCGGACUGUGAAUCACACCGUCCCUGUCCCGUUGCGUACUAUCAGGCUCUAUCCACACUAACUGGUCCGUGGAGAGCAAGUCCAACUGGCAUGAGCAACACCAACGCGAAAGCAUAAAGCCUGACUCCGGAGUGGCACUCGUGGCGCUACCAACCGAGUAUGCAGCGUAUCUCUGUCGAGUUCAAACAGGCUCUGAAAAGCCAAAGUCAAGAAAUCGAUUCUAACUGGUCUAACAACCAACAAGUAACGUGCCCUCAGCACAAUCUGACGCCAAAAAGGCGAUACGGUCCACCGUCACUCUAACGCACCCAUAGUCCGAACAACCUGAACAAUACUGUAAAAUCCACUCGGCAUACCAGCACGAGCGUAAAUGUAUACUAAACCACCUGAGUACUCGUCUCGAGGAUACUGCGACAGUACAAUUUAAUAAGCUCCUAGAGUUAAAUCAGGCAGUUUAAUCAAGUGACAGUCCAAAUCGCAGGUUUUCUCCUAAUUCAAUUUCCAAGUCCAACAUGUAUAACCUAUUCAAUUUAUUACCACAUGCUCCAAAUUCAGAUAGGCAAUCUACCAUUUAAUCCAUGAAUUCGAGCUAGAAUAGAUUAUCCAGAAAUUGAAAACUAUACAUGUCGACGAUUAGACUUAGGAUCAAAACCGAUGUAACCCACCUCGACAGCGACCCAAGCACCGGCGCGACGUCGAGAACGACGAAAAUGCACCCUCGCCGGCCUCAACGCACUACCACGACGCACGCACGCUCCAACGGCUCGCAGGCGCGAAGUUGACGUCGCUCCAAUCUCCAACUAUAGCCUCCACGAGCUCUCCACUUCCAACUAGAGAGAGAGGGAAAUUACAAAUCACCACUAUCCUCUGUAGGCCACAAGAUAAGGAUGCAUGGGGGUGCACGUGCAUCCAAAGCCACCCCAUGCAUCACCAACCGACUAAAAAAUUUAAAAAAUAAAUAAAUAAACAAGGUACUACAUCCUCCCUCACUACAAAAGUUUCGUCCUCGAAACUUAAAACAUACCUCAAGACGAGGAAGCGAACAAGUCGGGGUAGGACUCUCUCAUCACCAUCUCGGGCUCCCAGGUCGCCUCCGUCCUCGUGAUGACUCCACUGCACUUUCAUGUACGGAAUGACCCGGCUGCGCGAAUUCUUUCGUCUCACGCACAAGAAUCCGCACCGGUCGCUCCUCGUACCUCAGGUCCUCACCAAUCUCGAGUGGAGUGAAGUCAAUCACGUGAGAAUGAUCGAAAACAUAUCUCCUCAACGCCGAGACGUGGAACACAUCGUGAUGCCAGCAAGUCGCGGGGGUAGAGCUAUCCUGUAAGCCACCGCGUCCGAUACCGUCUAAUACCUCGAAAGGGCCAACAAACGUGGACUAAGCUUUCCACGUACUCCAAAACGGCGUAUCCCUCUGGACGGCGAGACUUUGAGAAAAUGAUCUCUAACCUGAAACUCUAAGUCUCGUCUCCUGGUAUCGGCGUAGCUUCUCUGUCGGCUCGUGCUGUCAGAGGUGCCGUGACGACUCUCACCUUUUCCUCAGCCUCAAGUAAAAUCUCCGGUCCAAGUGUCAUCCGCUCACCCACAUCACUCCAAAACAGGGGAUCGACAUCUGCGUCCAUACAACGCCUCAAACGAGCCAUCUGAAUACUUGUUUGAUAGCUGUUGUGUACGCAAACUCAAUCAGUCCACAUGUCGAUACCACCCUCCUCCAAAAUCCAGGACGCAUGCCCUCAGCAUGUCCUCAGAGUCUGUAUGGUCCGCUCUGACUGACCAUCUGUCUGGGGUGGAACGCCGUGCUAAAAUGCAAUUGAGUGCCAAAGCUGUCUGAAGACUCCUCCAAAACUGAGAUACAAAUCUCGGGUCUCUGUCUGACACAAUCGACACUGGCACGCCGUGCAGCGCUGACGAUCUCAUCCAAGGAUAGCUGCGCAGUCUCUCUCUCGACCAGGUAGUCUGAACCGUAGGAAGUGAGCAGACUUGGUCAGUCUGUCCACUAUCACCCAAAUAGCAUCGUAACUACCUCGCCUCUAGGCAAUCCAACAACGAAAUCCAUAGUGAUGUACUCCACUUCCACUCUGGCACUGGCAGACUCUGAAGUUGCCAGCAGGUAUCUGGGUGCUCGGCUUUCACCUGUUGGAAGUCAAACACUGAGCCACAUAUCUGCCAAUGUCCCUCUUCAUUCCAUUCCACCAAAACCGUGCUCUUAAGUUCCUUAUACAUCUUGGUCCCACCUGGGUGGACCGUAUAAGGGGAACAAUGAGCCUUCUCAGAAUGUCUGCGGAUCUCAGAACCACAGGCACACAGUCGGUCCCUGUACCGUAGUACUUCCGAACUGUCCAAAGCAAAACCUCAGCCUGCCCCUGUCUGCUGCUCUCUAAUCCUCAACAAGUACGGAUCUCCACUCUGUUUUUCUCAGAUCCUAUCCAACAGAGUGGGCUGCAAAACUAGAGAUGUCAGCCUCGCGCUAGACCCAGGGGUACUAUCUCGAGUCCCAGCGCUGUAGCUCCUCGAGUAGGGUUUCUGCUCAGUAAUCCUCAAACUCAGGCUCUGCACUGACUUCCUGCUCAACGCAUCUGCCACCACAUUCGCCCGCCGGGAUGAUACUAUACUAAUGUCAUAUGCCUUCAGUAACUCCAACCACCGGCGCUGCCUCAGGUUUAGCUCCCUCUGUGUGACAGAUACUUGAGACUUUUAUGAUCGUGAAGACCUCGAGUACUCGCCAUACAAAUAAUGCCGCCAGAGCUUCAAAGCCAAAAACCACCGCGGCAAGCUCCAAGUCAUGCGUUAGGUAUUCUUCUCAAAAUCCUUUAAUUGCCGUGAAGCAUAAGCAAUCACCCUACCAUGCUGCAUCAGCACGCAACCAAGUCCACUGUGCGAUGCACACUGUAUGAUCACAAAUCCUUCGCCCAUAACAGGAAGGGCAAGGAUAGGAGCGGACGUCAACCUCAGUCUCAAUCGUCAAGCUCCUUUGACAGUCGGUCGCUCCAGACAAAAAGAAUCCCCUUCCGCGUCAAGCGUGUGAGGGUGUGAAAGCUUCGCAAAGCCUUCCACAAACCGACGCGUAAUAUCCUGCAGUCCCAGGAAGCUCGUACCUCAGUCCCGUCGUCGGUCUAGGCCAAUCUCGAAUGCGCCUCAAUCUUCUUCCGGUCCACUGCUCCCCUCGGCUGAAAUCACGUGGCCAAGAAAGCAACCUCCCGUAGCCAGACUCGCACUUCUCAACUUGGCAAACGCUUCUUCUUUCGCAGAAGCUCUGUAGCACAAUCCUCAAGUGCUCCUAUGUCAGCAUCACUCCGGGAGUAUAUCAGAUAUCAUCGAUGAAAACUACCACAAAUCUAUCCAAACGGCUUGAACACUCUGUUCAUCAAAUCCAUGAAUGCGCAGGGGCAUUCGUCAAUCCAAAAGGAUCACCCGUGAACUCAUAAUGCCCGUACCGAGUCCGAAAAGCCGUCUUGGAACAUCCUCGGCCCUCACCCUCAACUGGUGUAACCUGACGGAGAUCAAUCUUUGAGAGACAUAAGAUCCCUGCAGCUGAUCAAAAAAUCAUCAAUGCGCCGGUAAGGAUACUUAUUCUUGAUGUCACUUUAUUCAGCUCCGUAAUCUACACAUAACCUGAGCGAACCAUCCUUCUUCUUAACAAAUACAACUGGCGCUCCCAAGGACACACUGGGUCUCACAUAUCCCUUGUCCAUCAAAUCCUAGCUGGCCUUUAGCUCUCUCAGCUCAGCGCGCGCCAUCCGAUAAGGUACCUUGAGAUUGGUGUAGUUCCAGGAACUACAUCAACACAACUCAAUCUCCCCUCCGGCGGCAAGUCUGUCAACUCAGGGGAAACACAUCCGGAAACUCCGCGACUACUGAAUAUCCUCGAGUCCCGGUCGCCGGUAGGUACCUUCACAACUGUCGCUAAGAAAGCAAUACACCCUAUCAGCAUCUGUCGAGCCUCGCCGAAGAUAUCCAAGUGGCAAACAGCGUGCUCUGCAGCCUCUAAAAGUAAACUCCUCCUGGCCUAACUCGCGGAAACGUCACAGUCCUCGCUCCACAAUUAAUAUAGUAUAGUACCGCCGCAGCAAUCCAUACCGAGCACAACGUCGAAGUCCUGCAGCUGCUCUAGCACCAACAGGUCUGCGGGCAUGACCCACGAAUCCAACUGCACCGGACACACAACAAACAUCUGCAACCUGUAAAACAUGGUCCGGAAUCUGCACCUCUCGUGCUCUGACAAUGCUCCUAACUCUAGACAUGCAAUAUGCAAAGCUCCGCUAACAAAGGAAUGCGAUGCACCAGUAUCAAAAAGAGUGCGAACUCUAAUGCCCAGAAAUCAAGUGAUACCUGCCACUACUCGGUCGCUGCUGUAGAAUCCUCCACCUGAGCUGCAUAGACUCGCCAUCGGAGCCUUGCUGUCGCUGCUCACCCUGUCGCGGCAUGGACGACCUAUCCUCCUGGCGGUAACUCGGUGCUGUCUGUAAGUCUGGCUGAGGUGCUGGUGGAGCUGAAGCUGAUGAUGGUGCUGGCGAUGCUGCUCGGGGACAAGCAGCCCUCAUGUGUCCCGGCUGCCACACCCGUAGCACGGCCCUCCUCUGCUCACACUGUCUGGCCAGUGUGGUCCUCCGCAGAUCACACACUGCGGCGUCCUCUCAGGCUGUCCCUCUGACGAGAGUCCCUGGAUCGCUGACGCCCGAGAACCCACGACCUGUGAACGCGAUCGUGGAGGCCUCGGCGGACGCUUGCUACUCGACUGACCUCCGUCGUCUGGGCUGGGGCGCUUCCUGUCCUGACUCUGUCCCGGCCCCUGAGCCCUCUCCGCAGCGCACCUCUCAUCUCUCCUCCCAUAAUGCCUGCUCAAUGGACGCAUCCAAAGUCCUCGACCUCUGCGCCCUGACGAACCGUAAUAGAUCGGGUCUCAAACCUGCUCGAACAAAUAGACCCUAUUGCCUCAUCUCUGGCUACAAACGGAACACAGUUCAGGAGUCUAGUAAACUCCCGAACAUACUCCUGAACUGUCCGCUCGCCCUGCUGGAUUCCUUUCAAGUCCUCCUCAAUUUUCUGUUUCAUGCUGUUGGGAAAAUACAUCCAUACAGCAUUCCACAGAACUCAUCCACCUCAGCUGCGCGCAACCAGUCCCUGGUCUCGCCUCGCUCUCCGCACCAAUCGUGCAUCACCUGACAAACAGUGUACUCCCAGUGGUACCUCCCCCUCUGGAACGAACAGAUCCUCAAUAACCUCUCCAUCGCACUGACCCAUCCCUCAACAACCAGGCCUCAGUGGCGCUGCCAUCGAAGAUGGUUUAGGUCAAAUCGCCGAAAACGAGCUAACCUCUCCGUCCACCGGCCUGUCCUGUUCAUUAGUUUGAUUGGACACUUUUGUUUAUUUAUGUGUAUCAGAGGUCAGUCUGACUUUCUCAUGUAGAACGUUCUGUGUUUUUUUUGUCCAUUUUCAUUAUUAUUGUGUUCUUGGUUUAGAACAACCCUUUUAUGUCUUCAAGGAAAUGCAGAUGAGUUCUUACUGUGAUGCAUUAUAUGAAGUAUAUAGUGUAACUUUGGUCCACGCAUGUUCAUCUGUCUUAUUGAACUGACAUUUUUUGGGCUUAUACACUCACUGUUUUGAUUGAGUAGCUCAUUGGCUAGUCUCAUGUUUUGUGAGGUAGCUUGCCGUUCGGACGUCUGCUUGUUAGCUGGUUCUGGUAUGUAGGUUAGGAUUCUGCGUGUGGUGGCCUUCUUAUCAUCCGUCAACAUCGCAUAUUCUUAACAGGAUUUUGUUGGGCAUUCUGUGUUUAUCUAGAAGCGGGUUCGUUUACCAAUUAGGUUUGAUGAAUCAAGGGUAAAUCUUGCGAUGCAUUCCUUGUUACCGCAAUGUGUUUUAGUUAAUUAUAUAUAUUAUUAGGGCUUUUUAUUAUUCACAACUGAUUUUGUCGCUGUGUAUUCGGUCAGAGUUGUCUUUCUUCGAACAUUCAAUCUCACUAUGUUUCGACUUCCCCCCUCUGGCCCUGGCGCGCUUUGACACACCUCGGGCUCUGCCUAUCUCUCAGCACAAUCGUGUUGCUAGUAUAGACGUUUUCGCAUUUAUACAGUGUUGCAUCAGCUGGCUGUCGUUUCAUCACUCGAGUUCAGUCUCGCUGCUCUACACUUCUCUGUCUCUCCAUCUCGUGCAUGGCAUCGCGGUCUGCCUCGUCGCUGCCUGACGUUCCAUUUAUCUUGGGGUGUUCGCAAGUUUUAACUGGCCCCACUUCGUCCCAUCAGACUUGCUUAUCACAUAUCAUGUGGAUGCGUUGCAUACUCAGUCCAUUUAGCAAGACUAAUUUCCGUGAUUCUUUUUCUAUUGCUGACUAUUUUGAAAUUUAUCUGAUAGUGAAAUUCCUUCAAGUUAUGUCUUCGUAUGGCGAUAUCCGUGGUGGCGUCAUUGUCUUUUGCUAGAAAUAAGAUUGUAAUUUCUCAUUGCGGUCUAAUGUAGUUCUCUCUGUCCGUAUAGCUUUUUUAUUGGUCGUCUUGAAGUGAUUCUUUCUCGACAUGUAACUCGUUAUGCUAUUGAUUCGCUUCUCAAGGGCGACGAUACUUUAGUAUUGUUUAAGUGAAGCAUAACUUCCCGUCUGCAGUUUUAUGGUUAUUGUACAAUCGCACGUUGCCUUCGCAAACGCUCCAAUUACUAAGAAUAUUUCUGUGUAGACGGCUUAGUCUCUUUAAGGUUUUCUCCUGCUUCUUCCCAUAGAAUAUAUUGGGUUCGUCCUGGCACCAGCCUUCAUCAGAUUAAAUUUCCCCUGAGGCGCCACAAACAAGGAACUUUUUCUUCAUCGAUUUACUUUCUCUUCCUAUCACAUACGGGAGGGGAGUUUAUAAUUUAUAAUAAUAAGUCAUUUGUGACUUUUUUUGACGGAAUUUAUUAAAACUAUAUGACGGGCGUCAGAUUAUUAUUUGCGUGUAAUUUUCUCGAUGAGCUAUUUUGCUUGAUGAUAGUGUUUUGAUAUAUGUUUCCACUACAAACACUUUUAUUUGUAAGUUUGUCCCUUUUAUCGUCCCGGUACCUUGCAUAAUAUUAGAUCACGAACUUUUCACUAGUUUGUUUCCGUUAAGCUCUCUCUUAUAGCUUCUUUUUACAUUCAUACCUCAUAAAUCGCUCUUUUAUUUUGAUCAACGGUACGCCCCGUAAUGUCUAUGUAGUCCACAUGCACGUCCGACGCAGCAACUAUGGUUUUGAGCUCGUGGGACAAUCAUCCAGCUCUGGUUCUAUUGGCAAAAUGGCUCUUGUUCAUUUCAGGUAUAGCUAGAAAUUAUCGUUGACGAUGUAUAGUUAUCUGUGCAUGAAUUUGAAUCAAUGACUCACUAUAAGAAUCCGUAUCAAAGCUGCCUAAAUUUGGGUUCGAGCAAACACAAUUUACUUAUGGAAAACGGUAACAUGUUUCCAUGUAGAUUAUAAUCUGGUCUAAUAGAAGAACCUACGACGAGAGGUAUCUAGACUAGAAUUGCGCAAGUGGUGUGUAGAUUGUUUGGUACCAGAUCUAAGUGGGCUUACUCCAAACUACCAGACGAAAUAAUCGUGCGUCCAAACUUCAUCCUCCCAGCGAUUUUGGGUGUAUUAUUCAAGUUUAAAAGGUUUUACAGCCUUAACGUACUAUACGCGUGACUCUGGCAAGUUACCAAUAUACGUGAUGUUGCUGACCUGCGAACUUAAAUUAGUGGCACUCUAGCUCAGGCACGAACGGGUAGGCUCGUGACUCGUGACGCCUUGCCUUCGAUCUCUGCUAUCCGCGGAGGGCAGCAGCCGGAACCUGUCGUCUCGUAAUUAGACGCGGUAACAACUUGACUGUGUUGAGAAUACUGAUAAAAACAAGUGCUCAGGGGUAACGCCAAAACCACAUCGGUGCCACCCACUAAGUCUACAGAAGGCGAGCAAAAGAAUAGUCAGAAAAGCAGGAAGUAAACUCUACCGCUCAUCGAUCACUACACAUCAUGCUCGUACUACUGAUCCAACUGUAGUAAAUGUCAAAUCUGACACCAAUCCAAUCGGGGACUUGGGUAAGCAUACCCGUCCCCGGACUGUGAAUACACCAGUCCCAUCGCGGUUCCGUUGCGAACUAUCAGGCUCUAUCCACAUAACUUGGUCCGUGGAGAGCAAGUCCAACUGGCUAUGGGAACACAACGCGAAAGCAAAGCUGAUCUCGGAUGGCACUCGUGGGCGUACACCACGAGCUAUGCAGCGUUAUCUCUGGUCGAGUUUACAACAGGCUCUGAAAAGCCAAUAGUCAAGAAAAUCAGAUUCGUAACUGAGUCUAACAACCAACAAGUAAAGAUGCCCUCAGACAAUCUGACGCAAAAAGAAAAAACAUAAAGGCGAUACGGGUCCACGUCACGUCUAACCGCACCCAUUAGUCCGGAACAACCUGAACAAUACUGUUUAAAAAUCCACUCGGUACCAGCCACCGAGGCGUAUAAUGUAUACUUAAACCACCUGGAGUAUCGUCCUCGGGGUGUAUACGUGACUAGAUACAACGUUAAUUAAUCGGCUCUAGAGUUUAAUACAGGCAGCUUAAUCAAGUGACAUGUCAAAUCGCAGGGUUUUCUCUCCUAAUUCAAUUUCCAAGUCCAACAUGUAUAACCUAUUCAAUUUAUUACCACAUGCUCCAAAUUCAGAUAUGCAAUCUACCAUUUAAUCCAUAAAUUCGAGCUAGAAUAGAUUAUCCAGAAAUUGAAAACUAUACAUGUCGACGAUUAGAACUUAGGAAUCAAAACCGAUGUAACCCACCUCGACAGCGACCCAAGCACCGGCGCGACGUCGAGAACGACGAAAAUGCACCCUCGCCCGGCCUCCAACGGCACUACCACGACGCACGCACGCUCCAACGGCUCGCAGGCGCGAAGUUGACGUCGCUCCAAUCUCCAACUAUAGCCUCCACGAGCUCUCCACUUCCAACUAGAGAGAGAGGGAAAUUACAAAUCAC
rnacentral:lncRNA from 1 species